GUCUGUGUAGCGCAAUGCAUAGCGCGUUGGACUUCUAAUCCAAAGGUUGUGGGUUCAAAUCCUACCUGGGAUG
rnacentral:tRNA from 1 species